rnacentral:rRNA from 1 species
GCAGUCUGCAACUCGACUGCAUGAAGCUGGAAUCGCUAGUAAUCGCGAAUCAGCAUGUCGCGGUGAAUACGUUCCCGGGUCUUGUACACACCGCCCGUCACACCAUGAGAGUUGGGGAUACCCAAAGCCCGUGAGCCAACUAUAAAGAGGCAGCGGUCUAAGGUAGAAUCAAUGAUUGGGGUGAAGUCGUAACAAGGUAUC